CUACGAUCCGUAACUGGUCUGAGAGGAUGAUCAGUCACACUGGAACUGAGACACGGUCCAGACUCCUACGGGAGGCAGCAGUGGGGAAUAUUGGACAAUGGGCGAAAGCCUGAUCCAGCCAUGCCGCGUGUGUGAAGAAGGUCUUCGGAUUGUAAAGCACUUUAAGUUGGGAGGAAGGGUGGUAACUUAAUACGUUGCUACUUUGACGUUACCGACAGAAUAAGCACCGGCUAACUUCGUGCCAGCAGCCGCGGUAAUACGAAGGGUGCAAGCGUUAAUCGGAAUUACUGGGCGUAAAGCGCGCGUAGGUGGUUCAGUAAGUUGGAAGUGAAAUCCCCGGGCUCAACCUGGGAACUGCUUUCAAAACUGCUGAGCUAGAGUACGGUAGAGGGUAGUGGAAUUUCCUGUGUAGCGGUGAAAUGCGUAGAGNAUNCUGGAGGAAUACCGAUGGCGAAGGCAGCCAUCUGGCCUAAUACUGACACUGAGGUGCGAAAGCAUGGGGAGCAAACAGGAUUAGAUACCCUGGUAGUCCAUGCCGUAAACGAUGUCUACUAGCCGUUGGGGCCUUUGAGGCUUUAGUGGCGCAGCUAACGCGAUAAGUAGACCGCCUGGGGANGUNACGGUCGCAAGACUAAAACUCAAAUGAAUUGACGGGGGCCCGCACAAGCGGUGGAGCAUGUGGUUUAAUUCGAUGCAACGCGAAGAACCUUACCUGGCCUUGACAUACAGAGAACUUUCCAGAGAUGGAUUGGUGCCUUCGGGAACUCUGAUACAGGUGCUGCAUGGCUGUCGUCAGCUCGUGUCGUGAGAUGUUGGGUUAAGUCCCGCAACGAGCGCAACCCUUUUCCUUACUUGCCAGCAUUUCGGAUGGGAACUUUAAGGAUACUGCCAGUGACAAACUGGAGGAAGGCGGGGACGACGUCAAGUCAUCAUGGCCCUUACGGCCAGGGCUACACACGUGCUACAAUGGUCGGUACAAAGGGUUGCUACACAGCGAUGUGAUGCUAAUCUCAAAAAGCCGAUCGUAGUCCGGAUUGGAGUCUGCAACUCGACUCCAUGAAGUCGGAAUCGCUAGUAAUCGCGGAUCAGAAUGCCGCGGUGAAUACGUUCCCGGGCCUUGUACACACCGCCCGUCACACCAUGGGAG
rnacentral:rRNA from 1 species